CAUAAUUUUAUUUAGACAUUUCGUGAUUUUCAUUAAGGUAGCUGUUCAAAAUCUUAAUCGUCACCGUCAAUUAGCAAAUCUAUCUUAUUAAAAAAAAAUUAGCUUAGCUGACAUUAUCCUGAAAUGUAUAAGUAAAUAGAUUUUGUCUAGAUAAUAAGAAUUAAGAAUCUCAAUUUCUUUUUGGUUAAAUCUAGUGAAAAACAUUUCGAUUUAGCAUGACACUUUCGAAUUUUUUAUUAUCUGAUUUCUUAAUAAAUUCCCAAUAAAACUUGCAAAAAUCCUUUUUUCACAAAACAAAAAAAAUCUUAAGUCUUAAUCUUGAAAAAGAUAUAUCAAGAGAUGCAAAGGGGACGCUGAUAUUGGGCCAAACGAGGCCUCCGCGAUUUCUUCAUCUACUUCUCCGAUCGGCCUACCAACAAAAGCAAAAGGCCUCCUCCUCUGAGUUCUCCACAGAAAGGGAAAAGGCCACAUCGAGAUAGAGCGAAGGAGGAGAGGAAGAAGACCAACAAAUUCUGCAGAAAUCGAUGAGGAAGCGACCAGCGAAAGAGCAGUAGGAGGAGAUGGAGAAGGGGAAAAGGAGGGAUGGCAAUGGGGGAAUACGAUGGGCCAUUGAUUCUCACCGACACUUUUACUUCUAAUGCCACUCGCACUGCUUGAACAUCCAGCUGCUGCGGAUGGACGACGUCGGCAUCACGGUACGCGCUGGCGUCGUUCCGGCAGCUGCCGGAGCACGUGAAGGACAACAAGUUCAUCCUCGGCCACUACCAGCGCCAGUUGGCCGCUCGCCGAGGCCGCCCUCAGCUUCCUCCGUCGGCCCAACGAGACGCUCAACGUCGGGACGUACGGAUGAAUGAUGUGUUUUUAGUUCGACUUGUUUUUUUCAUGCGAGGCCAUCUUUGUUCAUAUUUUCUUCUCGAGUUCAUUUUUAUCUUCUUUUCUUUUUUGGUGAUUUGUGACGAUCUCCUUUGCGUCCUGUGUGUGAUGGCGAGCAGGCAUUUGAUUGGGAUUGACGGUGGCCAAUUUUGUGGGGGUGCCUCAGGUGGCAGAACUUCUCGGCCUAUUCUCAAGGUGCGUUUUGUGUCAUUCAAUCCUAUACUUGCGUGGACAUUUUAGUGAGUCUAGACGAUAUCAAAUGGAACGCACAAUUUCUGUCGGAGUGGGAAUCAAAGCUAUACAUUUAUAGUGAGGAAUUUGUCAGUAGCAGCUUGAUCUGUGUUGAUUGUCAUAGCUCGAUUUCACCGUCUCAAGUGUAAUCUGAGAUGAGGCUUGUAGGUGCAAGCUAUAGCUCACUAAAGAGCUUGCUGAAUUGCUCAUUUGGUGAGGAUGUUUGAAUUACCCUGUUUUGAUCAAAUCCUUCAUAACCAGCUUAAAAUCGUCAAAUUUCACAGUCACAUUCGCUUAGAUAUUAACUACCUGUUUAUUGGCAGGAAGGCGCUCUUGGUAUGUACAAGUCAACGUAGUAUUGUGAUAUUCGUGGCUUGUUACCAUACUGAGCAACCAGCCAUUUCCAUGAGCCGGCCUUUCUUGCAACUGGCCACCAAAAUUGCCAUUAACCUUCAUUUUCUUCUGGUGCUGUAUCGAAAUUGCAGGAAUAUGCAAGGGUCGUGCUUGCCAAUCACUGCUAAAUUUCAGGAGUAGUAGCCUGACAAUCAACACAGUCUUUGUUCAAACAGCAAGUACAAAAUUAAGAUGGAUAGCAAGGGUCAUCUGUGAUUAGUUACCAUGAUGGAAUCAAAGUAUUAAUAGAAAUUUCUGUUCUUUUCAAACAGAAAUUAAAGAUCCAAUCCAUUUGAAAAUCUCUCUGUUCCUGUUAAUACAACAUGGAUUCAGUCCACCGUCAAUGGAUAAUCAUUUUCCAUGCAAGUAGCACAGUGCGUGUCAAGAAAAAGUUCACACAUGGUGGACCUUGUAAUAAACUAUUGCAGAAUGCUCCGGAAGUUGACUGCUGCUGAGAUUAUCUGAACUUAAUUAUAGUGGUAAAUGGCUUUUAUAGUGAAGAGUAGUUUACUGAUUGUCAAAUUGAAUUUGAAAGUAUCAGCUUAAGCAAGCUAGAUAGUUAUUCAGUUAGUGCGCUGCCCAUUCACUUUCACCAUUUUGGCCUCAUCUCUCCCUCUAGCAGAUUCAUAGAUUAUGCAAUGCUUGAUGUGCAAAUCCACUUGUGCAGGUCAAGCCCUACUAGUGCAGGACCAAUAUCUCUUACUCAAAGGAAUUGCUUUUGGGUACAAAUUCUUUGGUGAACUUGAAUCAGAUAUCAGAUGAAGAAAUGAAGAUCGGUUCACUCCAAUCAGCUGCAACACCGUGGCCGUUCUUCGUCUUCUUAGGCAGAUCCAUGUUCUGCCUCCUCUCGAGCAGCAUUUGCCACCUUUUCUCAUGCCACUCACACUACUUGAACAUCCAACUGCUACGGAUGGACUAUGUUGGCAUCAUGGUCAUGAUCAUCAUCUCAUUCUUCCCCCCAAUCUACUGUAUUUUCCAGUGCGAGCCCCAUUGGCAACUGAUUUUCCUUGGCGGAAUAACGGCA